AAAAAAAAAGUAAAAAAAAAAAGUGAAAAA
rnacentral:sRNA from 1 species